AGUGAACGCUGGCGGUAGGCCUAACACAUGCAAGUCGAACGGCAGCACAGUAAGAGCUUGCUCUUACGGGUGGCGAGUGGCGGACGGGUGAGGAAUACAUCGGAAUCUACUUUUUCGUGGGGGAUAACGUAGGGAAACUUACGCUAAUACCGCAUACGACCUACGGGUGAAAGCAGGGGAUCUUCGGACCUUGCGCGAUUGAAUGAGCCGAUGUCGGAUUAGCUAGUUGGCGGGGUAAAGGCCCACCCAGGCGACGAUCCGUAGCUGGUCUGGGAGGAUGAUCAGCCACACUGGAACUGAGACACGGUCCAGACUCCUACGGGAGGCAGCAGUGGGGAAUAUUGGACAAUGGGCGCAAGCCUGAUCCAGCCAUACCGCGUGGGUGAAGAAGGCCUUCGGGUUGUAAAGCCCUUUUGUUGGGAAAGAAAAGCAGCAGGUUAAUACCCCGCUGUUCUGACGGUACCCAAAGAAUAAGCACCGGCUAACUUCGUG
rnacentral:rRNA from 1 species